UGGGGAAUAUUGCACAAUGGGCGCAAGCCUGAUGCAGCCAUGCCGCGUGUGUGAAGAAGGCCUUCGGGUUGUAAAGCACUUUCAGCGAGGAGGAAGGUGGUGAGCUUAAUACGCUCAUCAAUUGACGUUACUCGCAGAAGAAGCACCGGCUAACUCCGUGCCAGCAGCCGCGGGUAAUACGGAGGGUGCAAGCGUUAAUCGGAAUUACUGGGCGUAAAGCGCACGCAGGCGGUUUGUUAAGUCAGAUGUGAAAUCCCCCGGGCUCAACCUGGGAACUGCAUUUGAAACUGGCAAGCUAGAGUCUCGUAGAGGGGGGUAGAAUUCCAGGUGUAGCGGUGAAAUGCGUAGAGAUCUGGAGGAAUACCGGUGGCGAAGGCGGCCCCCCUGGACGAAGACUGACGCUCAGGUGCGAAAGCGUGGGGCAGCAAACAGGAUUAGAUACCCUGGUAGUCCA
rnacentral:rRNA from 1 species